rnacentral:lncRNA from 1 species
GAGAACAGAAGAGAAAUUAGAAGAGGGUCCUGCUAGCUCCACCUCGAGAACACUGGGAGUAUGGGCUUACAGGAGAAGAGGAAAGUGGUGAGGUCACCAGCUGAAGAGUGGAUGGGGAGAAGAGAGAAGUGAAACUCAUUGAGAAAUACAGUGCGUCAGCUGGGAAAUCAUACAGGGUCAUUGGCCACCAGGCCAUGAGGACAAAGGGAGCAGAAUCGAUGAACAGGAUUUCAGAUGGCUGAAGAUCCUGGUUCAGUACUCAGCACCCACAUCGUGGCUCACCACCAUCCAUAUCUCCAGUUCCCGGGGACACCAACAUCCUCUUCUGAACUCGGUGGGUACACAGUGCACAUACAUACAUUCAGGCAAAACAUUG